CGUUGCCGUUGUACGUCCGUCGUAAUCCAUUACCAUGAAGCAUGAAGCCGUCAACGUUAAUGUCAAGUCGUCAAGUGCGUCAACCGUCAAUAACCGAUAGUAAUGUGUUUGGGGCAUGGAUUCAUGGGUCUAUGUAGAAAGCAGAUGAACAUCACAUGUUGCAGCAGCAUCUGGAGAGAGAAGAACAGACGUGGUCUGUUGAGUGAAAUAGUGCAAGUUCCUUCAAGAGACUCCCUACAACCCAACUUACCUGUCUGAAACAAUAAGUGACUGACAUUUUGCAGUAGCAGUGGUUUUUUCAAAGUAGCUACGUAGAAAAGCUAAAAUUAAAAAUUGCUUGUGGAAUGUAAUCUUGGCAUCACUAUUGAUCUUGGUACUCCUCAAUUGUAUUCCAAAGAGAAAAAUGCAAAUUAGAACCUGACAGACAAGAAACUGCAAGAAGAGGUUAGUCAUUAUUUACUGUUUGUUUAUCUUUUGUUGUUUUAGAGUAUCUUCUUCAACGUCAAAAUGACACAUGUGGUUGAGGCCAUUGACUGCCAACAGAAACAAGGCCAAUUACUGCAAUUUGAUUUUUUGUUAUAAAAAGAUAGUAGCUUUGCAACCCAAAUGGAAGAACAGGUUAUUGCAAGGAAUUUACAAUGUUGUCCUCGGCCUAUCGUGAGUGAUCUUAAGAGGAUAAGGUUUUAGCAUGGUGGUAAAUAAUAGCUGACUGAGAGCAACAAUCAGUGAUCACACUGUUGUAAGAAUUGGGUAUCUUGAAGUUUUCUGCAUAGAUUAUGUCCACACUGUAAUGGUUCUGAUGGCGUGCAUUAAAAUGAUCCAUCAACUUCAAGUUUUCUUAGCACUUUCUAUCCUCUGGCCACAAAAUUCCUUUUAGGUGAUGUAGUGAUUCAAAAGGGAUCACAUGGAAAGAAAAAUGCCUUCAAUACUUGAAAAGGAAGAUAAAAAACACUAAAAAGUGAAAGAUGUGUUUGGGUGUGCAUGCUGACUUCGAAGGAGGCAAUGUGUUUAUGAUUUAAAAUCUAGGUAUCCAUCUUCUUUAUAGAGUACGGAAACAAUAUCAACAUCUCCCGUCAAGAAAUAUGGGUUUCACUUGAAAACCCUCUAGUUCUUUUACAAACAACCAUUUGGCUCUCCAGGUCAAUGGCAAGUCAUUUUGCGUGAAGCUCUGUCAUCCCAUUAACUGAGUUUUUCCUGCGACGUUGCAUAAUAUUCUUACCAAUUACAUUAAUCGGCCCCUGACUGCAUGCUUCAAUAUGUCCCCGCAGUAACGGAAUGGUACCUACAGUUGGUGGUGUCCAGCCAGUGAGGAAUCGUAUUUCAUGGCUCCCAAGAAUCGGGAUUUGUUUCAAACGAAAUGCCUAAUACUGCCAUGGAUCAUGCAGCAAUCCUAAACGAUGAUAAGUUAGUGGACUCGUGUGCUCCUCGAAAGGCUGGUGGAAAGUUGCCAAUCGUGAAUGGUAAUGCGGACUAGUGGGAUUCCGCAAAAGCUGGUGAAAAUGUACCAAAGAUAAAAGACGCGGAGUAUUUCUUCUGUCAAUUCAAAUGCCAGUCGAGGUUACGUGAAACAAAUACAUUGGUAAAACGGUGAACCCAUUGUGUUUCCCACUCAAACAAUCCUAUUGAACUCCACAAGCGGGUAGUGCCGAUUUCGUGUCCCAUUCAACUUUUCUACCCACCUCACAAAAGAUUACAAGGGUCAACGACGAUCCUCGAAACCGUAUUUUUCGACAACCCCUACAGCUUUUGCUGCUAUACGGUUGAUGUGGGUCCACUUCUUGAAGACUUACUGGACAAAUUGGCUGCAGCUUACACAGAAUCUAUAACAAGCGUGUGGGUGUCGGCUAAUACAAGGAUGAUGGCUGGCGGCACUGUGGCCUAAUCUUGAAAGUGGAAGGAAGUGAAGCCGAAGUGCUAUUUGUAGACAGUGACAAUAAACAGCUUACUUCCACUAGGCCAGUCGAGCAUACUGAGUCAAAUUGCCGUCCCUGGCUUAUCAUUGUUGUCUGGACGGCAUUCCAAAAUCCUCCGUUCUUGGACAUCCGAAGAUAAGGCACCGUUUUGAACAACUCGGCAUGGCCAAACGUAUCUUGGUCACGUACUCCAACCGAUGGGAAAAUAGCUACAUUCUCAGUUCAUGUAACGCUAGAGCACACUGGUGCCUGUCUUUUCGAAAUCGAUGACCUUUUCACUCCUGCUCGCAAAAUUCUUCCCGUGCCAUAUAUUGCCAGCUAUCCAGCCCUACCAACUUCGUCUGAAUCGACUGAAGUGAACUCGGCUUUGUUUCACCAUGUUAAAAGGUUCUUCCUCUGGUCUGUUAAUCUUUCACCGUAUCAGAUAUUUUAUCUCUGUUUUAGAAUUCUGUACAUAGCUGAUGAGACUUACUUUUAUGAAUCCUAGAGAGAAUCGGACGAGAUGGGUGAUGAGAGCAACUUGCAAUUUAUCUUUGCCAUGGUUCUUCAUUGAUAUGUACUUUUUUUUCUAAACAUACGUGGCAGUGCAUGUUGAAUAAAUAAGAAUAAAUGAAGUGGAACAAUGUCA